GCAGGCAGGUGAAUGAGAAAACCUGGUCUGCCUCUGGUUUGAGAAACUGAAGAGACAUUGCCAGCCCUCUCCCACCAACUCUCUGCAGCAAGCCUUUGUGCGCCAGAGACAUGCCGAGUAUUUAGUGCAAAAAUCCAGGUGGGACAUCAUCCUCAACAAACUGAGGAUGUUGUCCCCUGUAGAUAUAUCUGAAUUACAUGCCCACGUUCGCACCCUACUCUUGUCUGUGGAGGAAGAUGCUGCAGCGUUAAUAAUGGCUUUGAACGACCAGCAGCAAGGCCCAGGAGAGACCCAGACUUUGCAGAGUUGGAGAACCAGGAUGAUAACGAACCAGAUGACGAUGAAGUAAACAUGUACAUUUCACAGAGGCAUGCCAUGGAUGACGACAGGGAGCUAAUGAAAUGGUGGAGAGUCAAUGGAUUGGUGUACCCAAAACUGGCCAGGCUGGCAAGGUCCGUCCUCUGCAUUCCAGCGAGCAGCAGCGAGCGGGUGUUCAGCGCAGCUGGCCGAACGAUAGAGCAGAGAAGGACCGCUCUGAAACCAGCAACUGUGGACGAUCAAUCUUGUUCUUGCAUGACAACAUGAAGAACCAUGAACAUUACUAUGACCCUGAGGCAAAUACUGGCUAUCUUGCUUGGAGACUCAAGACAGUCCAACGCAACGCGCACGAUGGCCUCCGUGGGCAUUCCAGGCCCAAUCCCCAGGGCAGGCCAACAACCCAAUGAGAAUCUUUGUUGAUUGCUGAACAGCUCAAGGAUGAGGAGUGCAGAGAGGCCUUGUCUGUAAUAAGACACUCCACAGAUGAAUCCGUGGUCAAAGAGAAGAUGAGAGCCACCUUCGAAUACAGACAGAAGCUGGUUCAUUACCAGGAUGCAACAUCUUCAGUCUUUGACGUCUUCCCUCGUUUCCUUGACAUACCCCGACUAAUUGACCAGGAUUUCUCACUGAUGUUUGGGGACGAAGUGUCUGGAAAGUUUCUUGCAAAGUGGCCUUCAUAUUUCAAGCCCAAAGUCAUCAGAAAGCCAGAGUCUUCCUUUCAGUCUUCAUGUUGAGGAACUGCGGGCAGGUUGCAACCCUGAGACUGAGAAUGAUCAUGGCUGGGAUAGUGAUAUGUCAGCUCUCCUGUUGCUGUUGCAUCUUCUGCCCCCUCCAUCAAGAGGCCAUAAGAAAACUGUCAAGAUCAGCGCCGCAGAGGACCAUCUUGUUAGAUUUGUUAAGCAUGGAGCCAGCCUCACUACAUUCCUGGAUAAAGUUGAUGCCAGACAGCCUUUCCUCCUCUGCACUGGACAGCAAAAGAAGAAAGUCGAGAGAUUCUUCAUCGUUGUGGACAACAAACCGAUCCCAUGUAACGCCCUGACGUCGGUGGCUGCUUUUGAUGGGCUAUUCAAAGCUCAUUAUGUUUUCAUCCACUCUCAUGAUGAAGCUCUCUUCGGUUUCUACGCCUUCAUUCAAACCACAGUCUACAACAUAGAUGUUGGAAGCGCAAAGGAAACGCCACGAGUCAAGGAGCUGAGAGCACGACUGCUACGUGAGCCUUAAAUUCCCACCAUUGCACAAGGAACAAUUCAAGGAAUUGUUAAAAAAAACUGUUCAGUGAUUAUGUUCACCUGUUUUGUUUGCAAAACACACCACAAAAAUUGUUCGCUUCUAUGUCAACAUUUAAAGUUCCAACACGGUUUAUACCCAGCCAAAAACCUACGUCUGAAGUGUGGAGAACAAGGAUGUCCUUCGUCUUUUUGUACAUACAAUGCCUUCUUGACAUUCUUGAUUCGAAUUAUCAAGUGAUGAGCCAACAACUUCUGCAUCCCUGUUGCAUGUUCCCCCUUUUAUCACACAGAACUCUCUUGAUAGUAUGUGCGGCUCAAUUGUUGCACACUUACAAGCUUCUGGUGUUUCUGAAAGUACGGUCUAAACUAGGGCUGAACGAUUUAUCGUUUUCUGAUCUAAAUCACGAUUUCAGACAACGUGAUCUCGGGAUCGCCAAAGACACAUUUUUUUCGGUUUUACUGUGCGUUCACGCGUCAAGUAGAGACGCGAAUCGGGGGAAUUAAUAUAAUAAUUGAAUAUAUAAUAUCAUGGCCAAAAUCUGUGAGCCUCCGGAUGGCCGUAGGGCUGGGAGCUCUCUUCGAGGGGUUUGUUUACGGCGUUUGUUUACGGCGUUGCUAUGGUUAACAGCGUUAACAUGCGUUCAACAGCGUGGCCACUAAGUCACAUGUGUAACGUAACAGCCAAUCAGCGUUCAACCGUCAAACUCAGUGCAGUUCAGUCCGGGGUGAACUGCAGCAUGGAGGAGAAAGUGAAUGUUGCCGUUUGCGACUCCCGGAG
ensembl:lncRNA